GAUGAAGAACGUAGCGAAAUGCGAUACGUAAUGUGAAUUGCAAAUUCAGUGAAUCAUCGAGUCUUUGAACGCACAUUGCGCCCCCUGGUAUUCCGGGGGGCAUGCCUGUCCGAGCGUCAUUACAACCCUCAAGCUCAGCUUGGUAUUGGGCCCCGCCGACCCGGCGGGCCCUAAAGUCAGUGGCGGUGCCGUCCGGCUCCGAGCGUAGUAAUUCUUCUCGCUCUGGAGGUCCGGUCGUGUGCUCGCCAGCAACCCCCAAUUUUUUUCAGGUUGACCUCGGAUCAGGUAGGGAUACCCGCUGAACUUAAGCAUAUCAAUAAGCGGAA
rnacentral:misc_RNA from 1 species